UCUUUCUUCUUCGAUGGCGUCGUGGCGGCGGAUGAGGGGAUUGGCUGGGUGGAUGUCCCAAUCGCAAGCGGCGUAGAUAGAGACGACGUAAAAGGCCGCAGAUUAUCCGAUCACUUCUCUCUUCCCCUGCCUUCUGUUCUUGGUUCACGACAGUUCUUCUGUUCUUCGGCCUUCUCUUCUGAUUUCGAAAUUUCCAUGGGUGUUUUGAUUUAAAAUGGAACAAGAUGUAUUACAUGUUUCUUGGUAUAGGGUUUUUGAUUUUGUUCGAAUUGUUUUGGGGAUUUUCGUCCUGCCAAAUAUUGUUUGCUAUAGGAAAUUCAAUUUUGUUUCAAGUUCAUUUCGACUUUUGUUUCAUUGAGCGUUCAUUGUUUUGUUGGGCGACGAUGCAUAUCAUAUUCGAGAAUUAAAAUUUUUCUUGUGGUUAAUCCCAGUUCGGCGGUUAUUCUUUUUGCCGACAUUUCUAUUCGCACUUUGUUGGUCUUUCGAACGUCGCAUUUGUUCAAACAAUGAAGCAAGCUUCAAAUCCAGAUGAAACUUUAGAAUCGGUAAGAACUUUCGUUCGUUUCGUUCAUUUUGGGUUUUGAAACUUUUAGUCUCAUCUGUUGUUGCUGUGCUGAUUGUGGUAGCAACAACGUUAAUCAUAGAAGUAGGGCUGUGCGCAAAUGGAGUUUCAUUUCAUAGGUGUUGUUGUGUUCUUUAAGCUAGUUAGUCUGUUCAAAUAUUUGUAAGGUCUGUUCGAAAUGUACUAAUGAUAUUAUGUUACACAUUUACAGAUUAGUGCGGCGCCGGCUGGGAAGGAGGCGUCGGCCGCUGUUCUUUGUUUUCACCGGAGAAGGAAGUGCGUGUGAAACUCAGGCAUGACCCAGAUCUUCAGACCCAGAUCUUCAGAGCAGACAACAUCAACUCAGCAGAAACAAAAUUGUGUUUUGUUCAUUUAGAAUUGGGUUCUGUUCAUUUAUUAGAAUUGUGU
rnacentral:lncRNA from 1 species